AUGUUUAUAUUUAGAGGAAAGCGACUGAGACUCAUUUCGUUUUCUCUUACUGUGCCGGCGGUGGUGGUGGUGCGUGUCAGCGUGUGAUGUGUGGCCCAUUUUGGAGUAAUACUGUAUAUGCAACUCUGCAGCUGCUGUGGCCUGUACCACCACCACCACUAUCACCACCACAGAGGCCACAACCUGCAGUCGAUCCACCACCACUAGUAACGCCUGCCAGGACACUACAGCCCCUCCAUUAUGACGAGCGGGCCCAGUUGUUUGGAGGAAGAUUGUUCUCUGAAGGGAACGGAACCCUGACCCUCCUGACCUCGAAGGGAACCGAACCCUGACCCUCUUGACCUCAUGUUCUAGGAGACGCAACUAGCUUCCUGGAUCACGAGGGGAUAUGCAGCGCUCUUUACGGUCCUACCUCCUUCCCUUGCAGCAAGCCCUCGUGUGUGUGUGUGUGUGUGUGUG